rnacentral:rRNA from 1 species
UACGAAGGGGGCUAGCGUUGUUCGGAAUAACUGGGCGUAAAGCGCACGUAGGCGGAUUUGUAAGUCAGGGGUGAAAUCCCGGGGCUCAACCUCGGAACUGCCUUUGAUACUGCAAGUCUAGAGUCCGGAAGAGGUGAGUGGAAUUCCUAGUGUAGAGGUGAAAUUCGUAGAUAUUAGGAAGAACACCAGUGGCGAAGGCGGCUCACUGGUCCGGAACUGACGCUGAGGUGUGAAAGCGUGGGGAGCAAACAGG